AUAAAACCAUUAUUCAAAGUAUCGGUAAAAAAAAUUAUUACCUGUGUUCUUGAGUUAUAGGUGAAUAUGAUGAAUCUACAUGACAAAAUAACACCUGAAUUAUUGAAGAAAAGAGUGCAAAACCCAACCCGUUUACAAAGAGAAGGGGUAAAUCAAGAUGUUCCUUAGUGAUUAUAAUGGGUCUAGUGUGAUAUUGUCAUGGGUCUGUGUUUUUGGUGGUUUACAGAGAAAGAUUGAAACUGUUAAGAUGAAGAAGAAAAAGAUGA